CUACGGGCUGCUCCAGUCGAGAAUCUUCCGCAAUGGACGAAAGUCUGACGGAGCGACGCCGCGUGGUGGAUGAAGUCCUUAGGGACGUAAACACCUUUUAUGAGGGAGGAAGUUUAUUGACGUUACCUCAUGAAUAAGGGGCUCCCAACUCUGUGCCAGCAGGAGCGGUAAUACAGAGGCCUCAAGCAUUAUCCGGAUUCACUGGGCGUAAAGGGUGCGUAGGCGGUUAUAUUAGUCGGGUGUUAAAUCCUGGGGCUCAACCUCAGAAUCGCAUUCGAAACGGUAUAACUAGAAGAUGUGAGAGGUAAGCAGAACUCUCGGUGUAGGGGUGAAAUCCGUUGAUAUCGAGGGGAAUACCAAAUGCGAAGGCAGCUUACUGGCGCAAUCUUGACGCUGAGGCACGAAAGCGUGGGUAGCGAACGGGAUUAGAUACCCUCGUAGUC
rnacentral:rRNA from 1 species